UCCCCCAGACUGCACAUUUGGAGCUUGUCUCCGUCCUGAGGAAUAUGGAGUUGGUGAUCUCAUCCAUAAUAGACUUCCGGAUGAAUAUCUUCGAGGCAAGGAUAGACAGCGAGCCCUGAUUGCAGCAGUUCGGCAUCACCUGAAGAAAGUUAAUUACCAAAAGUUUGACACUUUGCUGGCAGCCUUCAGGCACUAUGACAAGGUAGAAAACCAGAUUGUGUAAACCCUACUGAGGCUAAUGUUGAAGAACCUGAACAAACUCUCCUCAUAAAGCCAGAAGAUAUUGUCUUAAAAGAAGCAGGAAGCACAGAAAAGACUCUCCGGACACUUCUGAGACCAAGUGAUAAAGUUUCCAACUACUAUAAGACAACUUCUUCUGAGAUCAAUGCAAUUGUAGGAGCCAUUCCUUCUACUUGUAUGUCACUUAUUUGUCAAGUUUUAAAAGCAUCAACAAAC
rnacentral:lncRNA from 1 species